UGGAGCCAGCUGCCGGGCAUCGAUGUUCAGGUCCCUCUCCACGCUCUGGAGUAGCUCCUCCAUGUCAGGGCUUGGGGACCGCGACCAGCCCUCCAGCCCGAUGGUGAAGACUGUGUCAUGAAUCUUUUGUUAGGAAGCGCGUCUGUCUGCGACUGGGACGAGACAUCUCCGAGAAAAGAAGAAAAGCCUCCUGAUCAGGAAGCUCCCCCAACCCCAGGACGGGUGGACUAGAUCUCUCCAGUGAAAGCUGGGGCUAGGCGAGGUGGGCAGUCCUCCCUCCCCCUAAAGCUCUCAGGAGUUCUCAUUCUGUGGCAGAGUCGGUUGCCCUGGGGGCUGAUUCAGUUCUGCUCACUCCUGCUGCUUCGCCUGUUCCACAUUUCCUUAGGGAGUUAUCGCCUGCUGUAGAAGUUAGCAAAUCCGUUUGGGGGUUGUCUAAAAGAAGCACUCACGGCUUCCAAAAGGAGGGGCUGUAGCCCUUUAAGGACUUCGCCGGGAGGGUUUCAGAGAGGAGUUUAAAAAUGCCAACUCACAGAGCGCGCUGGAUUCUGGGAACAAGGUGUCAGAUGGAGAACUACAUUGACCAGUAUGCACUGCAAACACACUCGCCUUUACUUCCUUCUGCCCUUUAGGACUCUGGUUUGACGUAGAGCUUUUCCAAGCAAGUAGCCUAAGUGGAAGGCUGAGCCACACCUUUUCACCUAUUGGCCAGCUCUGAGGUAGUAGGCGUGGCUUAGUGCCACUCCACUAAGCAAAAGGGUGGCCUCCUUGCCAAUCAGAACUAAGACGGCCGGAGAGGCGGGACCACGGUGAAGAGCUGGCGCCCCCGAGUGGGUGUGGUCACGCUGCCCACCAGUUGGCGGUGAUUGGCCUUGGGAGGUGCAAGCGCAACUUGUGCGUCACGACGCCGCCAGCUGAUCGGAGACUGGAGCCGGUGUGUGCUGGGCGCUGGGAAGAGACCGCCGCCGGCCUUGGGGAACGGACGCACUGAUUUGGUCUCCUACCCUCAGCAUCCCCCCAUGCACACACCCAGCACCAGGAUCCUGUACCUCCCACACUCUCACCUGGCUGAGCCGCAGUAGUUCUUCAGUGGCAAGCUUUAUGUCCUGACCCAGCUAAAGCUGCCAGUUGAAGAACUGUUGCCCUCUGCCCCUGGCUUCGAGGGGGAGGAAGAAGAGGAAGAAGAGAAGGAGGUGAUUUCCCCCUCAUCUUGAAGGUGACAGAACUGGGGCGGGGAAGGUCUGAACAGCAGGAGUAAUAAUACCUUUUCAGGAAUGGGAGCCCUGUUCAGUUGGAGAGCCUUCCCCCCCAUUGGACCAGCAAGAGAGAACAAUUUUAGGUUAGAAAACCUGGCUGAACUAGGGAAUAGAUGGCUCUGAUUACCCAAGGUUAGUUGGUCUUUGUAUGACAAGGGGAACAAGUAGAGCAAAGAAAACCCUGUCUACUUCUUUACCCAGAUGUCUUUCUUGACCCUCCUUCCUUGUCCCCAUUCUUUCCACUCGCCUUUCCAGAUGAGGUCCAGAAGUUAAGUUUCCUCUCAGGAAAAAGGUCAGACUGAAAUGCUCAUCUGAGUGGUCAUCCCUCUGCUCUUACCUUUCCCUGCAUUUUCUUACUGGCUCAGACUCUAGAUUCAGGGGUACUCAUCUGUAUGUGAAACCCUCAUAGACCUCCCAUCUCAGCUUUCUCCACCUACCUGUGCGAUUGGGAAUCGCCCAGUUGAGUAUGCAUGAGGGAAUUAGAAACCCAUUUGUGCAGACUCAGAGCUUGAGAUGGGAACAAAACAGCUUUUCACAUAAGCUAGUGCCCCUACCCCAUCCCUGACCAUAACCCUAGGAGCUGGGGGGGGGGACUGAAGGGAGGGGCUAGUAGGAACUCAGUCUGAUUUCCCACCGUGCAAAGGUGGCCCCAGGCUUCCCCUGCCACCCAAAAUAGGACUGCGUCUCCUGAUGGGGUUCCAGCUACCAUUGCUCUCUUUAUUUCCUCACUUUACUUUCUAGGAUAGUGUGUGAGACUCAGCUCAGGCCUGUACAGGCAGGAAAUUCUCCCCUCCAGCAACCAGGAGAGCUAAAUUGUGGGAUAUGGUCCCCACUGGGGGAUCAGGCAGUGUAUACCUGCCACUGCCAGCUCUUGAUCCAACCUCACUCUUGGGCUCAGGCUCUGGUGUGGUUCAGCCUUGGUCCAGUCUCUCUGCCUGAGAAGGUGGCCACAUUCAGGGACUACAAGAAGCUGUUUGUUCUAUUUUGGGGGAGGAGGUGUACAGGGAGCUGGGUCUUAUUCCCCAUUUAUGAGAAACUGAAAGAUUCAGAAGAGAGAAGACCAUUGAACCCAGCUUUUCUGCAGUCUAAGCUGAAUGUGUGUGGGACUGCGUUCAAAGGGGGAGGGUAGACUGAGUCCACUCAUAGGACACAACAAAGACCACUCUGUCCCUGGAUAUUGCUUCCAUCCUUUCUUCCCCUCCUCGCUUCACUGGCCAGUGUCUCCCUCCAGCCCUGGGUGUGUGGCUGUGUCAUCCUCACCUAUCAUGGAGCAGAGAUAAGGAAGAGCAGCCUGGGAACACAGGCAGGCAGAAGACCAGUGAAGGACAAGGCCUGGAGAGCACAGGGCCCUGUCUGGGCACCCUGCAGAGGAGGCCCGUAAAGGCCAGGAGCACCCCAGGAGGAGAGAGGACAGCCAACCUUCAUCAAGGACAAGCUUCCAGCCAUCUUCUUCAUUCAUCAUUUCUCUCCAGUCUUUCCGUCUCCCUCAGAGAUGUGGGACCAUAUUAAAGUGUCCUGUGGCCUCAUCCUCCUACUUCCACCUCUCAUGCACCCUGCAAUUUUUAUAUAAGCAGCUUCAAGGAGCAAGAGCCGGCUAUGAAAGGACAUAUACAGGAAAUUCAUAAAAGAAAUUCAAAUGGAUAAAACCAUGAAAAAUGUGUUUCAUUAGUAAUUAAAAAGAGUCAAAUACAGGGGGGCGGCUGGUUAGCUCAGUUAGUUAGAGCGCAAUGCUUGUAAGCCCAGGGUUGCCGGCUCGAUCCCCGCUUGGGGCCAGUGUGAGCUGCACCGUUAACAACUAGAUUGAAACAAUUACUUGACUUGGAGCUGAUGGGUCCUGGAAAAACACACUUAAAAAAUAAAAGUUAAAAAAGCAUUAAAAAAAAGUCAAAUACAACUACGCAUUUUCCCCAAAGCAAGCUAUAACAGAAAAAAUAAGACCCAGUUACUGGCAAAGAAGUACUAAAAUACAGUGCAUAUGCACAUAGAAAUUGGUACAGCCUUCCUGGAGGUCGGUUUGGUAAUAUGUGUCAAACAUUACCUUGACCUUUGACCUAAUUCUACAUUUGGGAAUUUAUUCUGAGAAUAAUGAAAGAUUUAGUUAUAAGAUGUUCAUGUCAGCAUUGCGAUAGAGAAAAAGAGAAAAAUAGAAGCAACUCUAUGAUUGGGAAUUCAUUUCUGCUAUAAUGAAAAUUUGCAACAGGAUUGCUUAUGUAAAUUAUUGUAUAUCCAGCCAGAGGCUGGAGUAUGCACAGCCAUUCAAAGUCAUGUAGAAGAACAUUUGACUGGAAAGAAAAAUGCUCUUUGAAUAUUAAAAAAGUCAUAAAAA